GCUUGUCUCAAAGAUUAAGCCAUGCAUGUCUCAGUAUAAGCUUUUACACGGCGAAACUGCGAAUGGCUCAUUAAAACAGUUAUCGUUUCUUUGGUGGUUAUUGAUUACAUGGAUAACCGUGGUAAUUCUAGAGCUAAUACAUGCGCCCAGACCCAACUUUUAGGAAGGGUUGUAUUUAUUAGGUACAGAACCAAUGCAAGCUCCGCUUGACCUUUUGGUGAUUCAUGGUAACCGAUCGAAUCGCAUGGCGUAAGCCGGCGAUAAAUCAUUCAAGUUUCUGACCUAUCAGCUUCCGACGGUAGGGUAUUGGCCUACCGUGGCUAUGACGGGUAACGGGGAAUUAGGGUUCGAUUCCGGAGAGGGAGCCUGAGAAACGGCUACCACAUCUAAGGAAGGCAGCAGG
rnacentral:rRNA from 1 species